rnacentral:rRNA from 1 species
UACGAAGGGGGCUAGCGUUGCUCGGAAUUACUGGGCGUAAAGGGCGCGUAGGCGGCACUGUUAGUCAGGCGUGAAAUUCCUGGGCUCAACCUGGGGACUGCGCUUGAUACGGCAGAGCUUGAGGAUGGAAGAGGGUCGCGGAAUUCCCAGUGUAGAGGGUGAAAUUCGUAGAUAUUGGGAAGAACACCGGUGGCGAAGGCGGCGACCUGGUCCAUUACUGACGCUGAGGCGCGACAGCGUGGGGAGCAAACAGGA